GCUCCGGUGGUGUAGCCCGGUUAAGCUUAAGCAUCGAAAGCAUAGCGGCCUUAUCAGCCGCUGAUCGCGGGUUCAAAUCCCGCCCGGAGCACCA
rnacentral:tRNA from 1 species